UAAGUUUGUUAUAAGAUAGUAAUAAGGGGU
rnacentral:piRNA from 1 species